UACUUUAUUAAAAAAUUAAGAUUUUUUAGUUUGAUUUACUUAAUUCAAUAAAAAAAGAAUUGAUCGAACCGAACUGAUUUUCUUCCUUAUAAAUGCUAUAUCAUUUUCAACCCUCUCCAGCAGAAAAAAGAACGCCCACGACAUAGCCUACAUCGGAAUCCUUCCUCAAUUCCUCUCUUCUUCUUCAUCUUUUUUCUUGGUCCUCUCUUUAGUUCUCACGGCUUAAAGACCCAGAGACACAUAUGCACAGCAAGCAACAUUCUACUUCCAUCAGAAUCAGGAAAUGGCUCCCUUCUCAUCUAUAUCUCUUCUCGCGUCCUUCACUUCUGCCUCUUGAGCUCACAUUGAAGACUCCUCACCCUUGAUUUUUUAUGGGAUAUUACCCAUAAAAAUUUUGUUUGUGGGAUGUUUUGAUGGGUAAUUACUCAUUGACUUCUGCCUCUCGAGAUCACAUCCAAUAACAUUUUGAUAGGAGUCUCUUUGAUUUGAUCCAAGAGACUUGCAUACAAAAAGCAUUUUGAUCAAAUGAGUGAUUGUAUUUUAGGUACAUAGAUUUGUGGGUGCCGCCCAAAUUGUAUUCGAUGUUAAUUUGUUUGUUUUGGGUGAUUUCAUUUGUUAAUUAAGAUUAACUUGUGUAAUUUAUUAUGAUUAUGUAUUUUGUUGAAUUAUUGUUUUGAA
rnacentral:misc_RNA from 1 species